AUCAGUUGUGGACUAAUCCCUUCCAUGGUAUAUUUAUAUUCAACAGAGAACUAAAAACACAAAAUUAAAUACAGCCAUCUAUAACCUACUUCCUACUGGGAUGAGUAUCUAUGGGCUCAGCACUAUUGGUAGCCUUAUUCCGGGCGCUUGCUUCUGGCGUUUUCUUGGCAUACAAGACCAUGUAUCCAAUGGCGGCUGUCAUAAG
rnacentral:misc_RNA from 1 species